UCUAUUAUGGCAGAUUAGUGCAAUGGGUUUAAGCCCCAUAAAUAAAGUCCUCACUUUUUUUAGAA
rnacentral:tRNA from 1 species